rnacentral:rRNA from 1 species
UACGAAGGGGGCUAGCGUUGCUCGGAAUCACUGGGCGUAAAGGGUGCGUAGGUGGCCGGGUAAGUUUGGUGUGAAAGCUCGGAGCUUAACUCCGAAAUGGCAUUGAAUACUAUCCGGCUAGAGGGUCGGAGGGGAGACUGGAAUUCUCGGUGUAGCAGUGAAAUGCGUAGAUAUCGAGAGGAACACCAGUGGCGAAGGCGAGUCUCUGGACGACUCCUGACACUGAGGCACGAAAGCCAGGGGAGCAAACAGG